UCCCCUCUCCUCCCCCCACCACCACCACAAGAACCGCGUCAACACCACCUGCCAUUGCCGCGCCGAGCUGAGCCUCUAGCCGCGCCAGGAGGGCGCCCGCCUCUGCCUGCCUGCCUGCCUGCCUGCCUGCCGACAUCUUCGGUAGUUGAUGGAGUUGCACAAGUACUGGGGCGUCGGUGGCAGGCGGUGCGGCAGCUGCGAGGCGGCGCCGGCGGCGGUGCACUGCCGCUCGUGCCCCGCGGGGGGCGCGUUCCUCUGCACGGCUUGCGACGCGCGCCCGGGGCACGCGCGGCUCGCCCACGAGCGCGUGUGGAUGUGCGAGGUCUGCGAGCUGGCGCCCGC
rnacentral:lncRNA from 1 species